rnacentral:rRNA from 1 species
GUGGAUUAGAUACCCUGGUAGUCCACGCCCUAAACGAUGUCAACUAGUUGUCGGGUCUUAAUUGACUUGGUAACGCAGCUAACGCGUGAAGUUGACCGCCUGGGGAGUACGGUCGCAAGAUUAAAACUCAAAGGAAUUGACGGGGACCCGCACAAGCGGUGGAUGAUGUGGAUUAAUUCGAUGCAACGCGAAAAACCUUACCUACCCUUGACAUGGCAGGAAUCCUUGAGAGAUCAGGGAGUGCUCGAAAGAGAACCUGCACACAGGUGCUGCACGGCCGUCGACAACU